rnacentral:rRNA from 1 species
AGUGAACGCUGGCGGUAGGCCUAACACAUGCAAGUCGAACGGCAGCACAGUAAGAGCUUGCUCUUACGGGUGGCGAGUGGCGGACGGGUGAGGAAUACAUCGGAAUCUACUUUUUCGUGGGGGAUAACGUAGGGAAACUUACGCUAAUACCGCAUACGACCUACGGGUGAAAGCAGGGGAUCUUCGGACCUUGCGCGAUUGAAUGAGCCGAUGUCGGAUUAGCUAGUUGGCGGGGUAAAGGCCCACCAAGGCGACGAUCCGUAGCUGGUCUGAGAGGAUGAUCAGCCACACUGGAACUGAGUCACGGUCCAGACUCCUACGGGAGGCAGCAGUGGGGAAUAUUGGACAAUGGGCGCAAGCCUGAUCCAGCCAUACCGCGUGGGUGAAGAAGGCCCUCGGGUUGUAAAGCCCUUUUGUUGGGAAAGAAAAGCAGCAGGUUAAUACCCCGCUGUUCUGACGGUACCCAAAGAAUAAGCACCGGCUAACUUCGUG